rnacentral:tRNA from 1 species
GGCGUGAUAGCCAAGUGGUAAGGCCCCGGUCUGCAACACCGUUAUCCGCCGGUUCAAAUCCGGCUCACGCCU